rnacentral:miRNA from 1 species
UUCACAAGAAAGUGUCAUUCAUG